CUGUCACCGCGGACGCUGAUGUGCGACGGAGUCCGCCGCGGGAGCAGACGAUUUGAAGACGUCCAUCGCACCGCAUCGAACACCUAUCGGUGCGGCCCGAGAACGGGAGAGAACGCUGAGCGUUACGAA
rnacentral:ncRNA from 1 species